AGAUGUAGCAUUCAAGUGGAGGAAUGUGCUGGUGAGAGAAAGACAAGUUUGGUUUGGGACAAAUGAGUGUGAGGGCCCCAGCCUCUUGGCUGGCCAGUGAACACUUCCAAGAACCUUCAUACUUAAUACCUCUAUCACUCCUCCACUCAACAGGUGAGGAAACAUCAGUCCAGUGAGAGUGGCAUGUGUGGGGAGGAGCCCAGGCUUGCUCUGACCUCUCUCUGGGGCCCCCCACUCCAGAAGGUUGGAACAGCAUUCUACAGCAUUCCAGGAUGUGGAGGGGGCAGCAGUGUUUGUGUGCAGAGUGGCGAGGCCGACCUCCGAUGAGCUUCCCGUAGGAAGGGUGCAGUGGGGGGUGCUCACCCUGCCCAGGGAUGCUAUCUGCUCCAGGACUUGUUUAUCAGCCCACGGGGUGAUCGGCAUGACAUCAAUGGAUAUGCCAGGCUGCAGGCUACAGUGCCGAGAAGGAGAAGACGGAGGCGGUGGUGAUGUCACCCAAGGAAUUAAGUAAGCAGGGGAGCUGAUAACAUCGUCCAGCCAGGCUCACUGUGGGCAGGGUGACUCACUGAAGACGGCCUGCGAUCGCCAGGUGAUUGUUGUUGUGCCCAGCCUGUGGGGCUGGGGAGGAGGAAGGGGGGCAGGCCACAGAGCUGUGACAAGUUCCUCACCGAGGCCCCUGCUCAGGGGAGAGACCUCAGUACACAGUGUCCUCCACCUCUGAGCCCGGGGCUGGCUCAGGAAACAGCCCCCCUCUGCCUGUGCGAUUAUCUUUGUCCACAGUGUUUGGUGUGUGUUUGUGGGGUGUGUCAGGUGAUUUUCCUGCCCGAAGCCUGCUGGGUGCUCCAGGUACUAGCGAUUGCUCACAGCAGAGCAGUAGCCCCCUCCCUGGUUGGACAACUGUCUGUGGAGACAACACCGGAUGGCAAACUGCUAACCGCAACCACGUGGCGUCCUUACAGAGGGAACAGCCUGUUCCUCCCGCUGAGGGCACCUGCAGACCUGCCCCAUUCAUGGCUCCCUUCUCCCUCAGUCCCUGCUGAGGGGAUGGUCCCUUCCCACCCUUAAGGGCACCAUGGACUGUUGUCCAAGUUGAGAACUGUCCAACUGCAGGGGGCACCAUUCACUUGGCAGUCUUCGUGCCAGAUGCUAUGGCUGUCCACAGUGGCCCUGCCCCUUCCCUUUUGUAAAUUACUUCUCAGUUCCCUCCUCCACCAGAAUUAUCACACCAAACUUUCCCCCAUGUAUGCUUGCUUCUUUAUCACCUGACACUCUCAUUCAUUCAUUCCACAAAAAAAUUGUGGCGUUUGUGCAAGGUACUAUUCUAGGCAAGGGAACAAGACAGACCCUCCUGGAGCUCAUGGAGUUCAUAUUCUAGCAUGGGGGAGAACCAAUAAAUAAAUAAUUGGAUACAUAAAACUGCAAGUGACAAUAAGUGCUACAAAGAAAACUAAAGCCAGCCCAGGAUAGAGGGUGAUAGUGCCCUACUUCAGCUAGGACUGCCAGAAAGGCUUCUCUGUGGGGAGGUGGCCUCUGAGGGGAGACCUGGAGGCAGCAAAGGAGGAAGCCUUCCCGGCAGAGCCCCUCCCAUUGGCACCCAAUGCCAAAAGAAGUUUCUAUAACCCGUCCUGGUUCUGCCAGGAGCCUGCGGCAUGGCCUGGGGCGCUCAAUUCCCAGUGCAGGGUGUCUAUUUCUUCCCCCAACAAACAAGAGGCCUAGUCGCAUAGUCUCUUCCAGCACAAAUUCACCCACCUGUC